UCCGGCCUCGCCUCAUGAGAACAUCCUUCCGUGAGCAGUUGCUGGUUGGAUUACGGCCACGUGGACUGGAGCGCUACGGGGCGCUUCUCCCUGGGCGAGCUGAGGGGGCGAGUGGCGGGGCGGGAGCACCCCUGCGCCCCGGAGGAACCGUGACCCCCGGGCACGGGCUCCAUCCCCCGGAGACUGCCUGCGACCGUGGGGCAGGCGCCCUCGCGCCUCGUGUUCACCAGGCGCCCCUGGGACCUCGCGUUCUCGGGGGCCUCUGCACCCGAUCUCCGUCGCCGCGCCCCCGAGGGCGGCACCGGGGCCUUGUGAGCAUUUUACAUCAUUUUGUAGCAAGGCUCGGAGUGCGACACGCCGCGGAGGUGACCCCGCCGAGGAGCGCCUGCGGGCCCGCCCUGCCCUGCUCGCCCUCCUCUCCGGGCCGCCGCCACUCCCGCGGCCCCGCGGGGACGGUGGCACUGAUGAAUCCAGCGCAGGGCUGUGUGACCUUCGAGGAUGUGUUCGUGUACUUUUCCCGGGCGGAGUGGGAGCUCCUUGAGGAGGCGCAGAGAAGCCUGUACCACGAUGUGAUGCUGGAGAACUUUGCGCUUGUGUCCUCGCUAGGACUGGAGGUUUCCAGGCCCCAUGCAGUUACCCAAAUGGAGCCAGAGGGGAGCUCAGGGUACCUGAGAAGGUAGACCCAGCUGCAGCCCCAGGGAAGAGCCAGAUGCCUGGCCCUGGUGAGUGGAAGCUGUGGAGCGGAGACACCAGCGCUGGCUUCACGUCAUCCCAGCAGGCUUCCAGGUUGUUGGCAUGGAUUGGAGGAUGAGGCUACACUACACCUUGUGGGCAGGGUCACAGAUGCUCCCAAGACAGGGCCUUCCACCCAAAAGGCCCACCCCUGUGACACACGUGAUUCAGGCUUGAAAAACAUUUUUGCAGCUGGAUGAGCUACAAGGAACACUGUCUGGGCAGCACGCGUAUACCAACAUGUGAAUAACGGAAGAGAGACUUCUGGGGUAGUGUCAGCCUUGACCGGAUGCAGAGGUAGUGAAGUGCAGAGAAUUCUUCAGAAGGGCAAAGGGGCAGGCCUCGUCUGUGAAGAGCUGCAGAUGCCAUGUAUCAGAGAAGGUCUUCAUGUGCAGGGAAGGCUACAAGAACUUCUUGGCCAGCUCUGGACUUGACCAACACUAGGCCCCUCGCAGAGGAGCCACACAGGCACACUGGGUAGGAAGGCCUCUCUAAGCUGGCCCUUGUGUAUUGGAUUCCCAUUGGUCAAGACAGCACAACCUGACACUGCAAUGCCUUCCACUCCUUAGCUGCCCUUGUUGGAGGGAGCCUCGCUCCGAGGUCAGCUGAACUCAGAGAGUCUCAAGGGAUACCCAGCUGGGGCGAACCAGGGAAUGAUGAGGACCAUCAGAUUCUUGAAGUGCGCAUGAGCCCAGGGAUAGUUUCCCACAGGGAACUUCUCCCUAGAAAGAUGAACUCUGGACACAGUUGCAUAGGGGCUGAUGUAAUUUGUGCUCAAGAGUUUUGCAGGAGUGAGUCUCCCGGAGACGCUUUCAUGACCAGAACUCACAGGGACCAGGCACAGCUUCCAUGGUCUGUAUGGGAGGAAUCUGCACAAGUGGAAGGGAUGCAGGGAAGGGUUUAGCAAGUUUUGCUGUGUUGUUCAGCAUCAGCAGAUCAGACGGAAGUGCAGCCCUGUGACUGCAGUGAAUGUGAGAAAGUCUCAAGAGGGCAGACCUUAGUCAACAUGAGGCUUUACACUCUUGACACUGUGUGAGUGCGUCUCGUGGGAAGGCCUUCAGCCGUCGUCAGAGCUCAGGUAGCUCUAGCAGAGUCACAUGGGAGAAUUUACAAAUGCACAUGUGGAAGUCUCUUGUAAGAGCUCUGUUUUUGUCCAAAACAGUAUUUUACACUCCAGUGAAAGUUUCUUCAGGUGCGAAGCAUGUGGGUAAACCUUUCGUGACAGCUUUUUUUUACUCAUCACUUGAGAGGUCUCACAGGAGAAGCCCCGAGUGCAGGGAGUGUGGAAAGGCCUUUGUGCAUGCUUUCAUGUUUCCUGGCGUAAUAGGAUCCACCCUGGGGAACAUGCCUUUUAAGUUAAAAGAAUUCGGAGAGCCUUUUGUGACAACUCUUUGCUAACUCAGCACGUGAGGAGUCACACUGAGGGAAACCUCCAGUGGACAUAGUGAAUGUGGACAGACCUCAGGCUUGCUUCCUGUCUCCCCCAGUCUGGAGGUAUUCAUGCUGGGGAGAAACCAUGUGCGUGGAGAUGUGGGGAAGCCUUUUGCCAAGUAGACUACCUGAGGCAGCAUCAGAGAACUCACACUGGGGGAAGACCUUGUGAAUGUAACUCAUGAGGAACAUCUUUUGGCCAGAGGGAAUAUCUUACUUGGCAUCUAAGAAAUUAUACCAAAGAGAAACCCUGUGUCAUUGCUGUGAGGGGAUCUGAGGCAGGUCGCCCCUUGCUGUCAGCUAAAGGGUCUUACAGGAAAUUGAUCCAAUCUGGGACCUUACUUUGUAUCUGAGAAUUUAUGAAGGAGAGAGAACCAGUGGCUGUUGUGUAAUGACAAAACUGUCAAGUAUAGUUUUACCAUUGGUAUGCACUGAAAAGAAAUCACAGGAAUAUUAGAGAAAGAAAAAGGCAUAAGGGAGGAGGAAGAAAAUAAGCAGAUUUAACAAAAAGUACAGUCGGGGCGUUUGCAGGUUUCCCUGACGCCCAUGGCAGUUUGUUGAUUGUUUUUUUCUGUUGGGUGGCAGGAGAGGAGCUUGAAAGACGGAAAGGCCUCAUUCCCUCCCUCUGACUAUAUACACUCUCUGUUUUUCCGGGUAGGAGAGAGUUGGACACUUGAGGGAAGCUCUGCAAAAGUCAUUGAAAUGUUUCUUUGUCCCAAACAUUGAGGAGCAUAUGUCUUUGAAAAGUGUUAAGCCUUGAUUUAUGAAGCAAUUAGAACUUAAAAGAAAUUAGAAUAUUAAAAAUAUUGUCUAAAGUAACUAUGCCUAAGGACACACGUAUGAAUGGUUACUGUACCAUUUAAGGCUUCAAUUAUUUCUUUAUUGAGAUAUAAUUGACAUAUGACAUGUAAGUUUAAGGUGUACAACAAUACACUACAUAUCGCGAUAUGAUUGCUGUUGUGCCAGCUAACACCUUUUUCAUGUCACAGAAUUAUUUCUUCUAGUGGUGGGAACAAUUAAGAUGCAAUCUCUUAGCAAGUUUGAUGUUUAUAAUACAAUUUUGUUGUCUGUAAUCCCUGUACUGUGUGUUAGAUCUGCAGGACUUAAUCUCUUAGUUGCAAGUAUGUAACCUUAAACAACAUCUAUUGUGCCCCACCUCCUAGGCUUUGUAACCAUCAUUCUGCCCCCUUUUUUCAAGUUCCUUUUUGUUUAGAUUCCACGUAUAAGGGAUAUCAUAUAAUAUUUACCUUUUUCUGACUUAUCUCACUAGCAUAAUGUCCAUCCAUGUUGUCACAACUUGCAGGAUUUCCUUCUUUCUCAUAGCUGAGUAAUAUUCCACCGUAUGUGUAUAUAUAUGUGUGUGUGUGUGUUCAAAAUCUUUAUCCUGUCAUUUCUUGAUGGAUACUUAGGUUUUCCCAUAACUUGGCUGUUGUGAACAAUGCUACAGUAAACCUGGGAGUGCACAUACCUAUCUGAUACACUGUUUCAUUUCCUUUGGAUAUAUAUACUCAGAAGUAGGAUUGCUGGAUUAUAUGAUAAUUCCAUUUUUAAUUUUUUGAGGAACCUGCAUACUGUUCUCCAAAGUAGCUGGGCCGGGUCAUCAUCACAGUACAUAAAGGUUCCAUUUUCUCCACUUCCUUGCCAAUGCUUGUUUUCCUGACAGUCAUUUUUACAGGUGUGAGGUAAUACCUCCUUGUUUUGAUUAAUUUCCCUAAUGAUUAGUGAUACCAAGCCUCUUUUCUUGUACUCAUUGACCAUUUGGAUGUCUUCUUUGGAAAAAUGUCUAUUUAGUUCUGCCUGUUUUUUAAUCAGAUUUUUGUUUUGUUACUGAACUAUCUGAGCUCGUUAUAAAUUUUGGAUAUUAACCAUUUAUCUGACACAUAGUUUGCAAAUAUUCUCCCAUUCCAUGGGUUACCUUUUUAUUUUGUUAGGUGUUUCUUUUGCAGUAUAAAGGCUUUGAAGUUUGACGUAGUCCUACUUGUUCAUUUUUUUCUUUUGUUUAUUGUGCCUUUGGUGUAUCCAAAAAAAUUAUUGCCAAAACCAGUUUUGUGGAGCUUCUCCUUGUUUGUUUCUAAGAGUUUUGUGGUAUCAGAUCUUAUGUUUAAAUCUUUGAUCCAUUUCAAAACAAUUUUUUGCGAGUGGUGUAAGAGAGGGCCCCAGUCUCACCUUCCUGCGUGGGCUUAUCCAGUUUUCCCAGCACCGUUGUUGAACAGACUAUCUUUUCCCACUGAAGUGUUCUUGGCUCCUUUAUCAAAUAUUAGUUGACUGUAUAUGUGGAGGUUUAGUUCUGGACUCCUAUUCUGUUCCAUUGUAUAUUUUUAUGCCAGUAUCAUCUUGUUUUAAUUACUAUAGCUUUGUAGUAUAGUUUGAAAUUAGGAAGUGUGAGGCCACCAGUUUUGUUCUUUCUCAUGACUGCUUUGGCUUUUGUGGUUCUAUACAAAUUUUAGUUUCUUUUUCUAUUCCUAUGAAAAAUGCCAGCGGAAUUUUGAUAGGGAUUUCAUUGAAUCUAUAGACAGUUUUGAGUAGCAUGAACAUUUUCAUAUUACCUCUUCUAGUCCAUGAACAUGGGAUGUCUUGCCAUUUGCUUGUGCUCCUUUGAUUUCCUUCAACAGAAUCUUACCAUUUUCAUUGUACAAGUCGUUCACUUCAUUGCUUAAAUUUAUCCCAAUUCUUUUAUUGUUUUUGAUGCAAUUUGUAAUGGGAUGGUUUUCCUUAUUUUUCAGAUGCUUAAUUGUUAGUAUAUAGUAAUGCAACUGAUUUGUGUAUAAUUAUUUUAUAUCCUGUAACUACUGAUUUCAUUCAUUAAAGCCAACAGUUUUUUAGUUGA